rnacentral:rRNA from 1 species
UACGAAGGGUGCAAACGUUGCUCGGAAUUAUUGGGCGUAAAGCGCACGUAGGCGGCUCUGAAAGUUGGAUGUGAAAUCCCUCGGCUCAACCAAGGAAGUGCAUCCAAAACUGCAGAGCUUGAGUACUUAAGAGGAUCGCGGAAUUCCCGGUGUAGAGGUGAAAUUCGUAGAUAUCGGGAGGAACACCAGUGGCGAAGGCGGCGAUCUGGGAAGAUACUGACGCUGAGGUGCGAAAGCGUGGGGAGCAAACAGG